rnacentral:tRNA from 1 species
UCCCUGGUGGCCUAGUGGUUAAGGAUCCAGCAUUGUCACUGCUGCGGCUUGGGUUCAGUUCCUGACGUGGGAA